rnacentral:rRNA from 1 species
GAUGAACGCUGGCGGCGUGCCUAAUACAUGCAAGUCGAGCGAACGGACGGGAAGCUUGCUUCUCUGAUGUUAGCGGCGGACGGGUGAGUCACACGUGGAUAACCUACCUAUAAGACUGGGAUAACUUCGGGACACCGGAUCUAAUACCGGAUGAUAUUUUGAACCGCAUGGUUCAAAAGUGAAAGACGGUCUUGCUGUAACUUCUAGAUGGAUCCGCGCUGCAUUAGCUAGUUGGUACGGUAACGGCUUAGCAGGGCAACGAGGCAUAGGCGACCGGUGAGGGGGAUCGGCGACACUGGAGCUGGGCCACGGACCAGACUCCUGCGGGACGGAGCAGUAUGGAAUCUUCCGCAAUGGGCGGAAGCCUUACGGAGCGACGCGACGUGAGAGAUGAAGGUCUUCGGUUCGUAAAGCUCUGUUAUUAGGGAAGAACCUAUGUGUAAUUUACUGUGCAGAGCGUGACGGUACCGAGUCAGAAAGCAACGGCUAACUACGUG